rnacentral:rRNA from 1 species
AUUGAACGCUGGCGGCAGGCCUAACACAUGCAAGUCGAACGGCAGCACAGAAGAGCUUGCUCUUUGGGUAGCGAGUGGCGGACGGGUGAGUAAUGUCUGGGAAACUGCCCGGUGGAGGGGGAUAACUACUGGAAACGGUAGCUAAUACCGCAUAACGUCGCAAGACCAAAGUGGGGGACCUUCGGGCCUCUCACUAUCGGAUGAACCCAGAUGGGAUUAGCUAGUAGGCGGGGUAAUGGCCCACCUAGGCGACGAUCCCUAGCUGGUCUGAGAGGAUGGCCAGCCACACUGGAGCUGAGACACGGGCCAGACUCCUACGGGAGGCAGCAGUGGGGAAUAUUGCACAAUGGGCGCAAGCCUGAUGCAGCCAUGCCGCGUGUAUGAAGAAGGCCUUCGGGUUGUAAAGCACUUUCAGCGGGGAGGAAGGCGAUGUGGUUAAUAACCGCAUUGAUUGACGUUACCCGCAGAAGAAGCCCCGGCUAACUCCGUGCCAGCCGCCGCCGUAA